ensembl:lncRNA
AACAGAUCCUCGCAAGUAGUGUGGUGGUGUGUGUGUGUGUGUGUCUGUGUGUGUGUGUGUGUGUGUGUGUGUGUAAGGGAGGCAGGGAGCUGAGUAAACGGCUUAAAGCUGGUUGUAAUUGUGUUUUACUGCAGUCACUCCCAGAGGCACAGCCUCGUUGGCCUGUAUGCAGGACUCAAUGGGAUCCAGGUGUGAACACAACACAAUGGUUUCAAGGGAUACUAAUUUACCAAAGGAGUGGAGAAAAGUAACAGUCAGGGAUGAGAAUGAAUGUGUGAAAACUGAGAAGAGUUUUGGGGUUAAAGUUUGACACUGUGGUGUGUCCCAGGGGAGGUUCAUUUAAAAAGGAGCUUUCAGAGUGCAUGGUUGAGUGUCCCAGGUCUAAAUCAGUCCCUGAUUAAAGGGGAAUCACCCACCUGGUGUCCCAGGUCUAAAUCAGGGAACAAUGAAAUAAUGCAGUGAAACUGUCUUGGAGAUCCGGAGUUGAGUUUGAAGGCCCUAUAUAAUGCACUACUCACCCUAUUCCCUAUAUAAGCACUACUCACCCUAUUCCCUAUAUAGUGCACUACUUUUGACCUAGGGUGCCAUUUGCCAUCACACCUCUCUGAAACUAUGCAAAUCUGCCCGUCAUAUCAAGCUUGAGUGUGUCAGUGGAGAGGGAGGAAAACCCUUUUGACGGGGGGUUCCCGGUCUAGAAGGAACUGUAGUCCUUUCCAGCAGCUUCUUCUAGUGAAUCCUAUUGAAAUCCAGAAGAUUUUACAGGCUUUCCUACGAGGUAGAGAUGGAUUAAUGAUAAUAUGGAGAUUGUGGAGAAUAUUUGCUUCCAACAACAAGAGGCAGACUUUGCAGAGACUCAGUGUGCCUCACAAAAGUAGUGCACUAUAAAGGGAAUAGGGUGCCAUUUGGGACUCAGAGGAGUUUCUAAAAGAUAUUACAGCAUUAUUCAGACAUGGUGGGAGAUUAACAUGCUCAAUUACAAACUGUUCUGUAGGGCCAUUAUCCCAGUCUCUAAUGUAGCCCAGUGGGACCAUUAUCCCAGUCUCUAAUGUAGCCCAUUGGGGCCAUUAUCCCAGUCGCUAAAGUAGCCCAGUGGGGCCAUUAUCCCAGUCUCGAAGGUAGCCCAGUGGGGCCAUUAUCCCAGUCUCGAAUGUAGCCCAGUGGUGCCAUUAUCCCAGUCUCGAAAGUAGCCCAGUGGGGCCAUUAUCCCAGUCUCUAAUGUAGCCCAGUGGGGCCAUUAUCCCAGUCUCGAAUGUAGCCCAGUGGGGCCAUUAUCCCAGUCUCGAAUGUAGCCCAGUGGGGCCAUUAUCCCAGUCUCUAAUGUAGCCCAGUGGGGCCAUUAUCCCAAUCUCUAAGGUAGCCCAGUGGGGCCAUUAUCCCAGUCUCUAAUGUAGCCCAGUGGGGCCAUUAUCCCAGUCUCUAAGGUAGCCCAGUAGGGCCAUUAUCUCAGUCUCUAAGGUAGCCCAGUGGGGCCAUUAUCCCAGUCUCGAAUGUAGCCCAUUGGGGCCAUUAUCCCAGUCGCUAAAGUAGCCCAGUGGGGCCAUUAUCCCAGUCUCUAAUGUAGCCCAGUGGUGCCAUUAUCCCAGUCUCUAAUGUAACCCAGUGGGGAUAUUAUCCCAGUCUCUAAGGUAGCCCAGUGGGGCCAUUAUCCCAGUCUCUAAGGUAGCCCAGUGGGGCCAUUAUCCCAGUCUCGAAUGUAGCCCAGUGGGGCCAUUAUCCCAGUCUCGAAUGGAGCCCAGUGGUGCCAUUAUCCCAUCUCGAAUGUAGCCCAGUGGGGCCAUUAUCCCAGUCUCUAAUGUAGCCCAGUGGGGCCAUUAUCCCAGUCUCUAAGGUAGCCCAGUGGGGCCAUUAUCCCAGUCUCUAAUGUAGCCCAGUGGGGCCAUUAUCCCAGUCUCGAAUGUAGCCCAGUGGGGCCAUUAUCCCAGUCUCGAAUGUAGCCCAGUGGUGCCAUUAUCCCAGUCUCGAAAGUAGCCCAGUGGGGCCAUUAUCCCAGUCUCUAAUGUAGCCCAGUGGUGCCAUUAUCCCAGUCUCGAAUGUAGCCCAGUGGGGCCAUUAUCCCAGUCUCUAAUGUAGCCCAGUGGGGCCAUUAUCCCAGUCUCUAAUGUAGCCCAGUGGGGCCAUUAUCCCAGUCUCUAAUGUAGCCCAUUGGGGCCAUUAUCCCAGUCUGUAAGGUAGCCCAGUGGGGCCAUUAUCCCAGUCUCUAAUGUAGCCCAGUGGGGCCAUUAUCCCUGUCUCUAAUGUAGCCCAGUGGGGCCAUUAUCCCAAUCUCUAAGGUAGCCCAGUGGGGCCAUUAUCCCAGUCUCGAAUGUAGCCCAGUGGGGCCAUUAUCCCAGUCUCUAAUGUAGCCCAGUGGUGCCAUUAUCCCAGUCUGUAAGGUAGCCCAGUGGGGCCAUUAUCCCAGUCUCUAAUGUAGCCCAGUGGUGCCAUUAUCCCAGUCUGUAAGGUAGCCCAGUGGGGCCAUUAUCCCAGUCUCUAAGGUAGCCUAGGUGAUAUGCUGCUAUUUAUUUUCUAUUAUGCGAGUUUAAUGUGAUUUUCCAAUUAUACAACAGCAUGUGGGGAAGCAACUGAGGUAAAGGACUUAUUGGUUAAAUAUGAUUGAGUUGUAGAUUCCAGAGUAAUUCUUUACGCUCACAAAUAGAGCAUGGUUUACUGAUAAUAAUGGUAUAAUAAUGAUUCAAUGUGAUAAUGGUGAUAAUGGUAUAAUAAUGAUUCAAUGUGAUAAUGGUGAUAAUGGUAUAAUAAUGAUUCAAUGUGAUAAUGGUACAAUAAUGAUUCAAUGUCAUAAUGGUAUAAUAAUGAUUCAAUGUGAUAAUGGUGAUAAUGGUAUAAUAAUGAUUCAAUGUGAUAAUGGUAUAAUAAUGAUUCAAUGUGAUAAUGGUGAUAAUGGUAUAAUAAUGAUUCAAUGCGAUAAUGGUGAUAAUGGUCCAAUAAUGAUUCAAUGUGAUAAUGGUGCUAAUGGUAUAAUAAUGAUUCAAUGUGAUAAUGGUGAUAAUGGUAUAAUAAUGAUUCAAUGUGAUAAUGGUAUAAUAAUGAUUCAAUGUGAUAA